UAACGCGUGGGUAACCUGGCCCAUACAGGGGGAUAACACUUAGAAAUAGGUGCUAAUACCGCAUAACAACAGAAAGCGCAUGCUUUUUGUUUGAAAACCAAGGUGGUAUGGGAUGGACCCGCGUCUGAUUAGCUGGUUGGCGGGGUAAAGGCCCACCAAGGCGACGAUCAGUAGCCGGCCUGAGAGGGUGGACGGCCACAUUGGGACUGAGACACGGCCCAAACUCCUACGGGAGGCAGCAGUGGGGAAUAUUGCACAAUGGGGGAAACCCUGAUGCAGCGACGCCGCGUGAGUGAAGAAGUAAUUCGUUAUGUAAAGNUCUAUCUGCAGGGAAGAAAAUGACGGUACCUGAGUAAGAAGCCCCGGCUAACUACGUGCCAGCAGCCGCGGUAAUACGUAGGGGGCAAGCGUUAUCCGGAUUUACUGGGUGUAAAGGGAGCGUAGACGGCAGUGCAAGUCUGGAGUGAAAGGCGGGGGCUCAACCCCCGGACUGCUCUGGAAACUGUACGGCUGGAGUGCAGGAGAGGUAAGCGGAAUUCCUAGUGUAGCGGUGAAAUGCGUAGAUAUUAGGAGGAACACCAGUGGCGAAGGCGGCUUACUGGACUGUAACUGACGUUGAGGCUCGAAAGCGUGGGGAGCAAACAGGAUUAGAUACCCUGGUAGUCCACGCCGUAAACGAUGGAUACUAGGUGU
rnacentral:rRNA from 1 species